AGAAGCAACCGACUUUACAAAAUCAAGGUGCAAAAGACACUCCAUUUAGCCACGACUUUAUUUCGUCAAAGAGUACUAUCUUCGUCCAAAUGUAUAGGGUAUGCGUGUAAUUUUAGGUUCAGAUUUAAGUGACACUGCAGGACAGUAGGCCUCGUGGCGUGGGACCGGACCGUCAGCCAUACGCGGGAGAUCAUCAGGUCCAGAUUUCAGACAGCCGUUGGAUCAUCAGGUCAAAAUAAUGGAGUAGUACGCAAUGCAAUGUGCCUACGCGUCUUUCUUGUUGUACAUGUGGGUGCACUGGAACGUGCAGCAGUAGCUGCAGCGAGCCAGCUAAUUAAGCAGAGUUCAGCCUUGCCCCAACUACACUAGAUUAGCAUUAGUCAAAUCAAAUCUCCCUCCGGCGGAUUAGUUUACACGUAACACUACACUCGGGUUAUUUCUCCUCGCCGGCCGGACCGGACGGCGAGCANNNNNNNNNNNNNNNN
rnacentral:lncRNA from 1 species